rnacentral:lncRNA from 1 species
AUUAAUAAUCUUAAGAUACAUAUCACAGAUUUUAUUAAACUUAAUUACUACUUCACACAUCGACAAAUUUAUGUAUGCACUUCGGAACUAAAGGAAAUUUACAGCUUGAUUUAGAACAUUCUUUAUCAUCCGUGCACACAAGCAUAUCUGUUAUGUUAAAAAAAGGAAUGUUAAUAAUGAAGAAAAUAUUAAAGAAAAAAGACAGCAAAUAAACUUACAUAGGGCUUCUUCGGUUACAAUAGUAAAUGUCAAAGAAAAAAAAUAAUAAUGUAAACAAACUUAAGAAUUUGAGUCAUAUUUU